CAGCAGCCGCGGUAAAACGUAGGUGGCAAGCGUUGUCCGGAAUUAUUGGGCGUAAAGGGCUCGCAGGCGGUUUCUUAAGUCUGAUGUGAAAGCCCCCGACUCAACCGGGGAGGGUCAUUGGAAACUGGGAAACUUGAGUGCAGAAGAGGAGAGUGGAAUUCCACGUGUAGCGGUGAAAUGCGUAGAGAUGUGGAGGAACACCAGUGGCGAAGGCGACUCUCUGGUCUGUAACUGACGCUGAGGAGCGAAAGCGUGGGGAGCGAACAGGAUUAGAUACCCCGGUAGUCCCUGUCUCUUAUAC
rnacentral:rRNA from 1 species